CACACACACACACCCCCAAAACACAAGCGGCGCCGUGGAAGGAGAAAUUUCACUGCGCAGGCGUUGAGGGGGCAUCGCCUGCAGAGCCGGGAGGGGCGUGGCAAUGGGGCCGGGCUUCAGAGUAGAACCAAUCCCAGCGAGGGGCGGAGUUUUGUGCAGGGGCGGGGCUUCCGAGCAAGGUACCAGACCUGUCGUUGUCUCUUCUCUCUUGAGAAGCUGCCACUAAUCUAGCAGCUACUACCAGCUAAGGAAUUAAUUGAUAACAAUGGAAAAGAAAAUGGUCCAAAGUGAGAAGCCUGAUUUCAGACAACAUGAGAAGUUCUUGUUAUGGGAAAAUGAAAACAGGUUCCAGUCUUGCAGUGAGCACCACAUGGGCCCAGAAAUCCACCACUGUCAAACACACUGUAGGAUCAAGGCCCAGCUAUGUGUAUGCUUUGUUUGUUCACUUGUAAUCACGAGUUAAACACUUGGUUACCAUAAAUUUGGUGUUACAUGCACCUACAAAUGAC